rnacentral:rRNA from 1 species
AGCGAACGCUGGCGGCAGGCUUUACACAUGCAAGUCGAACGCCCCUUCGGGGGAGUGGCAGACGGGUGAGUAACGCGUGGGAAUUUGCCUUUUGGUGGGGAAUAACGCAGGGAAAAUUGCGCUAAUACCGCAUAAGCCCGUGAGGGGAAAGAUUUAUCGCCAAAAGAUAAGCCCGCGUCUGAUGAGCUAGUUGGUGAGGUAAUGGCUCACCAAGGCGACGAACAGUAGCUGGUCUGAGAGGAUGACCAGCCACACUGGGACUGAGACACGGCCCAGACUCCUACGGGAGGCAGCAGUGGGGAAUAUUGGACAAUGGGCGCAAGCCUGAUCCAGCCAUGCCGCGUGAGUGAUGAAGGCCUUAGGGUUGUAAAGCUCUUUUGUGUGGGAAGAUAAUGACUGUACCACAAGAAUAAGUCCCGGCUAACUUCGUGCCAGCAGCCGCCGUAA